rnacentral:rRNA from 1 species
GAUGAACGCUAGCGACAGGCCUAACACAUGCAAGUCGAGCGGCAGCACCUCGGGUGGCGAGCGGCGCACGGGUGAGUAACGCGUAUGUAACCUGCCCAUGAGUGGGGGAUAGCCCGGUGAAAACCGGAUUAAUACCCCAUGACACCAUUGUCUGACAUCAUUUAAUGGUUAAAGAUUCAUUGCUCAUGGAUGGACAUGCGUUGGAUUAGCUAGUCGGCGGGGCAACGGCCCACCGAGGCUACGAUCCAUAGGGGUUCUGAGAGGAAGGUCCCCCACAUUGGUACUGAGACACGGACCAAACUCCUACGGGAGGCAGCAGUGAGGAAUAUUGGUCAAUGGGCGGAAGCCUGAACCAGCCAAGUCGCGUGAAGGAUGAAGGUAUUAUGUAUUGUAAACUUCUUUAGCUGUGGAGAAAUAAGGGGCAUGCAUGCCCUGAUGCUAGUACACAGAGAAUAAGGAUCGGCUAACUCCGUGCCAGCCGCCGCCGUAAUAC